UGGGGAAUAUUGCACAAUGGGCGCAAGCCUGAUGCAGCCAUGCCGCGUGUAUGAAGAAGGCCUUCGGGUUGUAAAGUACUUUCAGCGGGGAGGAAGGCGAUAAGGUUAAUAACCUUGUCGAUUGACGUUACCCGCAGAAGAAGCACCGGCUAACUCCGUGCCAGCAGCCGCGGUAAUACGGAGGGUGCAAGCGUUAAUCGGAAUUACUGGGCGUAAAGCGCACGCAGGCGGUCUGUCAAGUCGGAUGUGAAAUCCCCGGGCUCAACCUGGGAACUGCAUUCGAAACUGGCAGGCUAGAGUCUUGUAGAGGGGGGUAGAAUUCCAGGUGUAGCGGUGAAAUGCGUAGAGAUCUGGAGGAAUACCGGAGGCGAAGGCGGCCCCCUGGACAAAGACUGACGCUCAGGUGCGAAAGCGUGGGGAGCAAACA
rnacentral:rRNA from 1 species